rnacentral:rRNA from 1 species
CCUACGGGUGGCAGCAGUGAGGAAUAUUGGUCAAUGGACGAGAGUCUGAACCAGCGAAGUAGCGUGAAGGAUGACUGCCCUAUGGGUUGUAAACUUCUUUUAUAAAGGAAUAAAACGAGGCACGUGUGCCUUUUUGCAUGUACUUUAUGAAUAAGGAUCGGCUAACUCCGUGCCAGCAGCCGCGGUAAUACGGAGGAUCCGAGCGUUAUCCGGAUUUAUUGGGUUUAAGGGGAGCGUAGAUGGGUUGUUAAGUCAGUUGUGAAAGUUUGCGGCUCAACCGUAAAAUUGCAAUUGAUACUGGGAGUCUUGAGUACAGGUGAGGUAGGCGGAAUUCGUGGUGUAGCAGUGAAAUGCUUAGAUAUCACGAAGAACCCCGAUUGCGAAGGCAGCUUACUAAACUGUGACUGACAUUGAUGCUCGAAAGUGUGGGUAGCAAACAGGAUUAGAUACCCUUGUAGUC